GAUGAACGCUGGCGGCGUGCCUAAUACAUGCAAGUCGAGCGAACAGACGAGGAUCUUGCUCCUCUGACGCUAGCGGCGGACGGGUGAGUAACACGUGGAUAACCUACCUAUAAGACUGGGAUAACUUCGGGAAACCGGAGCUAAUACCGGAUAAUAUAUUGAACCGCAUGGUUCAAUAGUGAAAGACGGUUUUGCUGUCACUUAUAGAUGGAUCCGCGCCGCAUUAGCUAGUUGGUAAGGUAACGGCUUACCAAGGCUACGAUGCGUAGCCGACCUGAGAGGGUGAUCGGCCACACUGGAACUGAGACACGGUCCAGACUCCUACGGGAGGCAGCAGUAGGGAAUCUUCCGCAAUGGGCGAAAGCCUGACGGAGCAACGCCGCGUGAGUGAUGAAGGUCUUCGGAUCGUAAAACUCUGUUAUUAGGGAAGAACAAAUGUGUAAGUAACUAUGCACGUCUUGACGGUACCUAAUCAGAAAGCCACGGCUAACUACGUG
rnacentral:rRNA from 1 species